rnacentral:rRNA from 1 species
CACGUAGGGGGCAAGCGUUGUCCGGAUUCAUUGGGCGUAAAGAGCUCGUAGGCGGUUCGAUAAGUCGGGUGUGAAACCUCCAGGCUCAACCUGGAGACGCCACCCGAUACUGUCGUGACUAGAGUCCAGUAGGGGAGCGUGGAAUUCCUGGUGUAGCGGUGAAAUGCGCAAAUAUCAGGAGGAACACCAGCGGCGAAGGCGGCGCUCUGGGCUGGAACUGACGCUGAGGAGCGAAAGCGUGGGGAGCGAACAGG